rnacentral:rRNA from 1 species
UGCAGUCGAGCGGAACGAUCCCAGCUUGCUGGGAGGCGUCGAGCGGCGGACGGGUGAGUAAUGCAUAGGAAUCUGCCCGAUAGUGGGGGAUAACCUGAGGAAACUCAGGCUAAUACCGCAUACGUCCUACGGGAGAAAGCAGGGGCUCUUCGGACCUUGCGCUAUCGGAUGAGCUUAUGUCGGAUUAGCUGGUUGGUGAGGUAACGGCUCACCAAGGCGACGAUCCGUAGCUGGUCUGAGAGGAUGAUCAGCCACAUCGGGACUGAGACACGGCCCGAACUCCUACGGGAGGCAGCAGUGGGGAAUAUUGGACAAUGGGGGCAACCCUGAUCCAGCCAUGCCGCGUGUGUGAAGAAGGCCCUCGGGUUGUAAAGCACUUUCAGUGAGGAAGAAAGCUUGUCGGUUAAUACCCGGCAAGGACGACAUCACUCACAGAAGAAGCACCGGCUAACUCCGUGCCAGCAGCCGCGGUAAUACGGAGGGUGCGAGCGUUAAUCGGAAUUACUGGGCGUAAAGCGUGCGUAGGCGGCUUGGUAAGCCGGUUGUGAAAGCCCCGGGCUCAACCUGGGAACGGCAUCCGGAACUGUCAGGCUAGAGUGCAGGAGAGGAAGGUAGAAUUCCCGGUGUAGCGGUGAAAUGCGUAGAGAUCGGGAGGAAUACCAGUGGCGAAAGCGGCCUUCUGGACUGACACUGACGCUGAGGUACGAAAGCGUGGGUAGCAAACAGGAUUAGAUACCCUGGUAGUCCACGCCGUAAACGAUGUCGACUAGCCCGUUGGGGUCCUCGAGACCUUUGUUGGCGCAGUUAACGCACUAAGUCGACGCCCUGGGGGAGUACGCCGCAAGGUUAAAACUCAAUGAAUUGACGGGGCCCGCACAGCGGUGGAGCAUGGUGGUUUAAUUCGAUGCAACGCGAGACCUUACCUACCC